rnacentral:lncRNA from 1 species
ACGAGAUGGGGGGAGGGAGGGGGCUCACGAUUAUGCGGUCGCGGUCGGCGUGGCUGGAGACGACCGCGGGCGCGGAGGGAGAGGAAGUGGCCGUGUGGUCCUUGGCGAGGAGGAUGCGGAGGCCGGAGUUGGGCGGCGGCGGCCGCGAGGGCUUCUCCAUGGCGAGGGAGGCGACUCGCUGGUAGGGUUCAGGGACAGGUCGA